rnacentral:rRNA from 1 species
AUUGAACGCUGGCGGCAUGCCUUACACAUGCAAGUCGAACGGCAGCACGGGGGCAACCCUGGUGGCGAGUGGCGAACGGGUGAGUAACGCAUCGGAACGUGCCCAGUAGUGGGGGAUAACCAGUCGAAAGAUUGGCUAAUACCGCAUACGACCUACGGGUGAAAGCGGGGGAUCGCAAGACCUCGCGCUACUGGAGCGGCCGACGCUGUACUAGCCUAGUUGGUGGGGUAAAGGCUCCACCAAGGCGACGAUCAGUAGCUGGUCUGAGAGGACGACCAGCCACACUGGGACUGAGACACGGCCCAGACUCCUACGGGAGGCAGCAGUGGGGAAUUUUGGACAAUGGGCGANAGCUGAUCCAGCCAUGCCGCGUGCGGGAAGAAGGCCUUCGGGUUGUAAACCGCUUUUGGCAGGAACGAAACGGUGCCGACAAAUACUCGGCGCUAAUGACGGUACCUGCAGAAUAAGCACCGGCUAACUACGUGCCAGCAGCCGCGGUAAUACGUAGGGUGCAAGCGUUAAUCGGAAUUACUGGGCGUAAAGCGUGCGCAGGCGGCUAUGCAAGACAGGUGUGAAAUCCCCGGGCUCAACCUGGGAACUGCAUUUGUGACUGCAUGGCUAGAGUUUGUCAGAGGGGGGUGGAAUUCCACGUGUAGCAGUGAUUUGCGUAGAGAUGUGGAGGAACACCGAUGGCGAAGGCAGCCCCCUGGGACCUGACUGACGCUCAUGCACGAAAGCGUGGGGAGCA